CAUUACUGACUGGAGACUCAGUCCUUCGGCACUCUUGGCGCCCAAGAUUUUAAAUAUCUGGGGCAGCUUUACUAGAGGAAGAACGGCAUGGCUGAGGAAAGAGCUAAAGCACCGAGCCCUUGGCAUUAGCUUCCCAGCAGCCACCCCCCCCCUACUCUGACAGAAAGAAGGAACUAUACAUACCCAGAAGUGAUCCAGCCACGAUGCCCAGUCCAAGGCCUUUGCUGAGGAGAAUCUUGAGGCAGGGAACUGUGGAGAGAGAAGUAAGCAAAGAGGCCUUCGGAACCCAGGGCCCAGAACACUUCCGCCCUCUUCAGAAGCGCCUUCCGCCCAGCUUCGCGUGAUGUUAGCCACCUGUCACUUGCACUACUCUCGCCAAAUUACGGUCCAAGGUUACUUGAAGUAGACUUUGAAGGCUGAAUAAAACUCACCAUGAAGGAAGUCCCAGUGGACGAAAAGUUGGUCAUAGCAUUUCUCAGGUAAGAGAACUGGCACCAGCACUCGUUUGAACGGUCCGUCCGCCUCACCGGCCAUGUUGGAACUAUUGCUUCCGCCAGGCUUGCCCGCCCGCCAUUGACCCAGGCCGCGCACGCGCGCUCCGUUCGCUCCGCCUCAUUCUCCCCCGGGACACGGCAGCACCGCCCCUUCUUACGCCACCCUGCUUCUGGAACCUGAGAUACAUCUCGGACUGGAUUUUGUACGCGCCUUGACGUUCGAAUUUUAAAGCGUGUCAGAGCUUUACGCCUGCGCGGCUCGGACUUGCGCGCUUUUGUUUAUGCUAUCAGUUCUGAAAGAAAGCCUUAUCCCUCCGCCCGUCUCUGUCCCUUCUGCGUAUGCGCCAUCUUGUCUUCUCUCGGUUAACUUUGUAUUUCAAGUUGGAAAGGAAAAGAUUACGAGUCUUCAAAAUGGCGCUAGUCGGGGGCGCCGCAGUUUCUUCUUCUCCUCAUGGUAUCUCCGGAGGGAAUGGCACCGGAAAGAGGCCAUUCUGAGCUGGGCAUCCCUCCUAGUCCCCUGCUUCUUCCUCUGUUUUGUUGGAAGGUGGUUUGGAGCAGAAGAGCGACUUCAGCUACAGGAGAACCGCCCCUGACUCAGCUCUCAGUCUCUGCCGUGUCUAGGCUGGACCCCUGGGGAUGGUUCAGAGGGUGCAGGCAAAAGGUCCCCAAAUGUCUUUUGUUUGGGAAAUGGCACCUAGAUAGGGUCACUUCAGGCUGCAUUCCACCGCCCAGUGCCCCGACUCUCCUGAUGCAGUGCCCCUGGCUCUCAGGCUGUAAGGGCACUCAUAGUUUCUCUGCUCCUUGUUCUUGGAGGGGCAGUGCUGGGCCGGUUCUGCCACAUGUACCUCUCAGCUGUGCAGGGCUCCAGUCCACCAAGAAUUUCUAUAACCUCACGGGGCUCUUACAACUGGAAUGGCACCCAUCUAUGACUUCUGUUGGUUGCAAUAUGCCCUACUAUAAAUAGUGAAACUUGCCUGACUGGUGUCACAGGCCUUUAAGCCCAGCACUUGGAGGCAGAGGCAGGAGGAUCUCUGAGGCCAGCCUGGUCUACAGAGUGAGUUCCAGGACAGCCAAGGCUACACAGAAAAACCCUGUCUCAAAAAAACAAAACAAAAUAGUAGAGUUUAUACUUGGCUUUGGUACAGUGUGUAGCCAUCUGGCCUAUUUUGAAUCUGGACGUGGGCUGCGCUGCAAGUGGCACCACCCUCUCGCCCUCUGGGUACCCGGGCAUCAAGGGUAUGUUUGCUGGACCUGAAGUUGUUCCUAGGGUACCCACUGCUUCCAGAUUGGUGCAGUUCUUUGCAAUGGGCUCUUCAGUGAGUCUAGCCCUGGCCACAAUGGACAGGGACUCAUUGCUCGGUAGCCACUGGCAAUCACCCUUUUUGAAAUGAAAUUACACAGCCACCUACUCAUAUUUUGGCUGUGUUUGUACCUCUAGCUAGAGGGUAGGAACAGGACGCCAGGAUGGACUGAUCCAUCAUAUCAUGUUAAAGGAAUGGCUAGUCACUGGCCCCAGAAGGGAGUCUGGCAGCUUCACCAGCAGCUGUGCCAGGCACUGGAGGAUGAACCCCUUAAAGGCAUUUGGUUACUCUGGUGUUUUCAUCCCUUCCUGCCAGUUGUCUCCUAGUGACUCAACCAUGGGAAGGCACAGGAAGGCACAUGACAAGAAACUCGUGGCUUUUAAUCCUGGCAGGGCAAGGGAAGCCAAGGACAAAGAUUUCAUAAAGUUUUCAUAUCCUUUUUUUGUUGUUAUCAGAAGUGGGACACCCAUUCAUGUUUAUUAACCACCCAUUACAAAAUCUCUGAUUUUGUUCUUAAAGACAGAGAAGGAGAAUAACUUUGAGUCAGUUGUAAGUUGAAGAAAUGAGGAUGUUCCUUAGUGGCCCGGAGUGAAUUGGAGCAAAUGCUCAGAGGGGCUGGUAGGUUGAUUGCCGUCUUCGGGUAAUGCAGAAGGCAAUAAGUACCAGGGUGAGGAGGCCAAGGAGGACCAGGCCAAUGAUGAGAGGCAGCAAGAGGGAUUGGUCACUGGUGCAAGAGAAACCUGGUAGAAAGAUGGGAUUAUUAGGGAUUCCAGCAGCAGUGGAUGGGAUAAAGGUAGGAGGAAGAAAAAAGGAGAUGAUGGAAGGAGGUUGAUGAGGUGCUCAACCCCAUAAUUCAGAGCAAAGUAGAGGGGGAAUAGGCGGUCUUGUUAAAGAAAGAGGGCUCUGGGGAAGAGGUUUCCUGUGCAGUGGGAGACUCCCAGGAAGGAAGAGGUAGGGAGGUCUUACAUGGCCCCAAGUGUCCAGUGUUGGGAAGCUGAGCAGCCUGUAGUCUCAGGAAGAGUAGGUCAAGGUGAACAGCUGGAGAAAGAACUAUGCUUGUAUUUCUGCAACAGAAGCUUUGGCCCAGGGGAGCUUGGAGCUCUCGAAGAGAUGAAUUCUGAGCUGAGAAUGUCCAUUCUGAAGAAGUUAUUAAUGAAGAGUCAAUUCAGUC